rnacentral:rRNA from 1 species
GAGAGGUAACGGCUCACCAAGGCAUCGACGGGUAGCUGGUCUGAGAGGGUGAUCAGCCACACUGGAACUGAGACACGGUCCAGACUCCUACGGGAGGCAGCAGUGGGGAAUCUUGCACAAUGGGCGAAAGCCUGAUGCAGCGAUGCCGCGUGCGGGAAGAAGGCCUUAGGGUUGUAAACCGCUUUCAGGAGGGAAGAAAAUGACGGUACCUCCAGAAGAAGGUGCGGCCAACUACGUGCCAGCAGCCGCGGUGACACGUAGGCACCAAGCGUUAUCCGGAUUUAUUGGGCGUAAAGAGCUCGUAGGCGGUUUGGUAAGUCGGGUGUGAAAACUCUGGGCUCAACCCAGAGAGGCCACUCGAUACUGCUAUGACUAGAGUACGGUAGGGGAGCGGGGAAUUCCUGGUGUAGCGGUGAAAUGCGCAGAUAUCAGGAGGAACACCAGCGGCGAAGGCGCCGCUCUGGGCCGUAACUGACGCUGAGGAGCGAAAGCAUGGGUAGCAAACAGGAUUAGAUACCCUGGUAGUCCAUGUCGUAAACGUUGGGCACUAGGUGUGGGUCUCAACCAACGAGAUCCGCGCCGUCGCUAACGCAUUAAGUG